AAGGUGGGGAUGACGUCAAGUCAUCAUGGCCCUUACGGCCUGGGCUACACACGUGCUACAAUGGUCGGUACAAAAGGGUUGCCAAGCCGCGAGGUGGAGCUAAUCCCAUAAAACCGAUCGUAGUCCGGAUCGCAGUCUGCAACUCGACUGCGUGAAGUCGGAAUCGCUAGUAAUCGUGAAUCAGAAUGUCACGGUGAAUACGUUCCCGGGCCUU
rnacentral:rRNA from 1 species